AAUAUGUCCAGUCUAAUUCUACGUCAUGUCAAUGGGAUAUUGUCGCAGACUCGCUUUUGGACAAUAGCAAUUAAAUGUCUUUUAUUAUCCUUGUGCUUGUGGCAGCUCUCAGCUCAAUGCACACGAGAAACGUAAAAGAACAAUU